rnacentral:pre_miRNA from 7 species
CACAUGGCUGGCAGGGAAACCGUUACCAUUACUGAGUUUAGUAAUGGUAACGGUUCUGCUGACAGCCAGGCA